UUUUGUCUUUGUAAUUUUUAACAUGAACUUUAAAUAUCAAACACAAUAUAACACUGAGUAAAAACGUAACAGUCCUGCAAGUGGCUUUCAGAGCCCUGGAUUGUGAUUUUUUGAAAGUUAUGUUGUGAAUAGCGCAACUGGUAUAGAUGGAUAAACCAUGCGUAUCGCGUCGUGACAAGAUAUUUAAAACAAGUAUAGACUGUUUUCUCACGUCUCUGCAUGUUUGUACAUUCUAUGUUCUAAAACGUCAUAACUUCAUUUUCACUGUAUUUACAAAAUCCCAGAUUCACUUUCUAUUCUUAUGAGUUUAGGAAUUUUCUAUAAGUAAAUCAAACAUUCGGCAAAUGUAAUACAAAAUGAUCUGACACUGCUUUGCACCAGUAAAUAAGACAUUAAAAAUUACCUAUAGCUUGUUAACUGUUUGUCAUGUGAUGCUCUGCUGCUUUGUCUUCUUCUCUACUGCAGAGUGUGCCCUGGCUAUGCCAAGACUGAACUUGAUUAUGAUGUAAUUUGCUAAAUCUUUAAUAUAUAUGUAAAAUAAAAUGGAGCCGCACACAAAGGUUAACAGAAGUUAUAAGUUAUUCUUAAUGCUCUAUUCAAUGGUGUAAUUUCCAGAGAAGUGUCAGUUUCUCUGUUUGAAGAAUGUAUCCAUUUGGAUAUUUGUAUAGACUCUGAUUAAACCACCUCUUCAGGUAGAGAAUUCCGCAUCCUUAUUGUUCUAACUGUAAAAACACACUUUCCUUUGCCUUAGAUUAAAUCUCCU